CAAAAUUAAAAAGUUACCCAAGGGGAAAGGAGAUUAGUGCCUUCCCCAUUACCACAAUGAUCAACUGCCCUCCUAGAUACUAAAACCUCCUCCAUGGGCAGCUUCAGGGUGGCGGGAGAGGACAAACCAACCAAACAAGAAACAUCUCUCUGACAGACACACACACCUUUUUCUUACUUAGUUUUAAAGACUUCUAGCUUCCUUCCACUCUCUACAACAGUUUCUAUAGUACAAAAACACAUUACAAUACAAAUGUCUGUGGCACACUGAAAGUUUGGAAACACAUUUAAAUGGUUUACAUUUUAUAUCAAAUGAACACAUUGGACCUGGAGGGCAGUGAGGGCUUGGAAAAGGUGCUGUGUGAUUAUGAGGUCCUUGCUGCGCAAUUUAGGUUUAAGGUAUCUUUUAGGACAGAGGUGGGAAAACUACAGCCGGCGGGCCACAUCCAGCCCAUGGGACCCUCCUGCCCGGCCCCUGAGCUCCUGGCCCAGGAGGCUACCACCGGCCCCUCCCCUGCUGUUCCCCCGCCCCCGCAGCCUCACCUCGCUCCACUGCCGGCGCAAUGCUCUGGGUGGCGGGUCUGCGAGCUUCUAGGGCAGCGCAGCUGCAGAGCCCAGCCUGACCCAGUGCUCUGUGCUGUGCGGUGGUGACAGCGUGGCUGGCUCCAGCCAGGCAGUGCGGCUGUAGAGCCGCCUGCCACUGGUGCUCCAGGCAGUGCGACCGGCUAGUGAAAGAGGGAGCGAAUGAAUUAGUUACUGCCAUCUAGUGUAUGAAGAAAUCAAUGCUACAGGCACCAAGCUGGGGGGGAUGCAAGGAACGCCUUGUGUGCAAGGAGCGUGUUUGCUUCACUGUGCCUACAACAUCCAAGAAUAUUCUUCAGAUAAACCAAAUAGAACCCAUUCCUGCAGCCACUGAAGUCAACAGCACAUUUUGUUGUGGAACUGAAUAUGUAGCAUUUUGUUUGUUUUUGGAAGGGUGUUUUCUGGAAUCGUCAAUAGAAUGCACUUUGAAUUUGGCUGCCUUUUAAUAAAAUGGUUGAUUACUU